AGAGUUUGAUCAUGGCUCAGGACGAACGCUGGCGGCGUGCCUAAUACAUGCAAGUCGAGCGAGCGGAACUAACAGAUUUACUUCGGUAAUGACGUUAGGAAAGCGAGCGGCGGAUGGGUGAGUAACACGUGGGGAACCUGCCCCAUAGUCUGGGAUACCACUUGGAAACAGGUGCUAAUACCGG
rnacentral:rRNA from 1 species